rnacentral:rRNA from 1 species
UAGGGAAUCUUCCACAAUGGGCGAAAGCCUGAUGGAGCAACGCCGCGUGUGUGAUGAAGGCUUUCGGUCGUAAAGCACUGUUGUAUGGGAAGAACAGCUAGAAUGGGAAAUGAUUUUAGUUUGACGGUACCAUACCAGAAAGGGACGGCUAAAUACGUGCCAG